rnacentral:rRNA from 1 species
CCCUUAGAUGUUCUGGGCCGCACGCGCGCUACACUGAUGCAUUCAACGAGCCUAUCCUUGACCGACAGGUCCGGGUAAUCUUUGAAUCUGCAUCGUGACGGGGAUAGAUUAUUGCAAUUAUUAAUCUUCAACGAGGAAUGCCUAGUAGGCGCAAGUCAUCAGCUUGCGUCGAUUACGUCCCUGCCCUUUGUACACACCGCCCGUCGCUCCUACCGAUUGAAUGGCUUAGUGAGCCUUUGGGAUUGGCAGCCAACACCGGCAACGGUAGCUGGCCGCCGAAAACUUAUGCAAACUUGGUCAUUUAGAGGAAGUAAAAGUCGUAACA